rnacentral:rRNA from 1 species
AUAGCGUAUAUUAAAGUUGUUGCAGUUAAAAAGCUCGUAGUUGAACUUCAGACCUGGCCGGGCGGUCCUCCUCACGGUGCGUACUGUCUGGCCGGGCCUUACCUCUUGGUGAGCCAGCAUGCCCUUUACUGGGUGUGUCGGGGAACCAGGACUUUUACCUUGAGAAAAUUAGAGUGUUCAAAGCAGGCCUAUGCCUGAAUACGUUAGCAUGGAAUAAUGAAAUAGGACGUGCGGUUCUAUUUUGUUGGUUUCUAGAGUCGCCGUAAUGAUUAAUAGGGAUAGUUGGGGGCAUUAGUAUUCCAUUGCUAGAGGUGAAAUUCUUGGAUUUAUGGAAGACUAACUUCUG